GAGGAUGUAGUUCAGUGGCAGAAUGUUAGUUUUGUAUGUAAGAGUCCUGGGUCUAAUCCCUAGCAUUGUUU
rnacentral:tRNA from 1 species